rnacentral:rRNA from 1 species
GGCAGCAGUAGGGAAUAAUGCGCAAUGGCCUAACGGCUGACGCAGCAACGCCGCGUGGAUGAUGAAGCAUUUCGGUGUGUAAAAUCCUUUCAGUGCGGAAGAACGGGCUUCGGCCCCUGACGGUACCCACAGAAGAAGCACCGGCUAACUCCGUGCCAGCAGCCGCGGUAAUACGGGGGGUGCAAGCGUUGUUCGGAUUUACUGGGCGUAAAGCGCACGCAGGCGGACUGUCAAGUCGGGUGUGAAAACCAGGGGCUUAACCCCUGGCCUGCACUCGAAACUGGCAGUCUUGAGUACCGGAGAGGAUGGCGGAAUUCCUGGUGUAGCGGUGAAAUGCGUAGAUCUCAGGAAAAACACCGGUGGCGAAGGCGGCCAUCUGGACGGAUACUGACGCUCAGGUGCGAAGGCUAGGGGAGCAAACAGGAUUAGAUACCCUGGUAGUCCUAGCGGUAAACGAUGGGUACUAGGUGUUGGUGGUAUCGACCCCACCAGUGCCGCAGCUAACGCAUUAAGUACCCCGCCUGGGGAGUACGACCGCAAGGUUGAAACUCAAAUGAAUUGACGG